AUACUCUGGUUUCUCUUCAAUCUAAUAAAUCUUUCGCCUUUUACUAAAGAUUUCCGUGGGGUAUAACAAGUACGAGUUAAUGGGAAUUUUGCAGGUCUGACCUCGGUCAGGCU
rnacentral:snRNA from 1 species